rnacentral:sRNA from 1 species
GUUGGGCAAGGUGGCGCAAGCCUGUAAUCCUAGUGGCUCUGGAGGCUGAGACAGGAGAAUCACGAGUUCAAAGCCAUACUCAGCAACGAAGAGGCACUAAGCAACUCAGUGAGACUCUGUCUCUA